UAUUAUUCUAUUAUGAUCCUCAUUCCCACUUUGAUUUCAACAGUGUUUAUGCAUUAGUUUUUCUUGGCGAGGUUGUAGGAAUUAGUGAUAGAAUUGAACUAUGUAUUCCAUUGUAUUUGGAUCAAUGUAAAACCUGCCCUUGAUCGUGAUACCAUAAUAGAUCUUGGCCCCUUCAGACUGACAGGGACUAAUUGAAACCACCCUUUCUCCAAUGAUGGAGUUUACAGUUGCAGACUUCCCAAUGCUACCUUUCCCAAUCACAAGUAUGGUUAAGGAGUUCGCAUCCUCUUGUGUAAGGUUUCCCAAGAGUUCAAGCAACUUGGUCUGUGUAGGAGCGAAUGUAUUGAUUCCUGACCAUUCACGAACAGCUUGUUGUUGUGAAGCCAUAACGUUCCACGAAAUUACAGGGCAAUGGUCGUUAGUUUGGAGGGAUGUCCUUGACACAUGCAGCUCAUAAUCCAAGUUCACUAUGCUUCUUUCUCACAGAGCCAUUUCAGAUUUCUUAGGCUUUCUAUGGUCGUGAACUAGAUUAGUAACGUGCAACUGGCGUAUGUGGUCAUGAUAUUUGAUGACAGUAGGUAUGUAGGUUAUUUGUGCGUGGUUCUGAUGUGAACUAGAUGCUCUGCAGUGGAUUCCCUUCCGCAAUGUGGUCGGUUAUUCGCGGUUUCCUCUUUUGAGUUCUGCUGCGGUUUUUGAAGGAGUGUUGACGCUGCAGGGGUGAUGCACACUUUAUCGUGUUGGUUCACAAGUGUGUAUUUUGCAACAGGUAUCGCUGACUUUAUCGAUGUAGCCUAUGUCAUCAUAGUUUCGGCUCGGAUGUGACAACUUUGCAGCCUUAUUCUUCAAUGUGUUGGUUCGCCUUCAACUUUUCAAGCGUAAUGCCAACAUUCGAAAUUUCUUGCAUCAAGAACCAAAAGGUUCCAUGAUUUCUAUCAAUACCAAAAAAUGUUUAUUUUUUACAGAUCUGUUUAACCAAUAACGAUGGGUGCCUUCGAGUUCAUUCAAAGAAGACUUUAUGAAAGACAAAAGAUCAACUCCAGGAGUAUAUUCAUGUGAUAGAUCAUCCCAUGCUGAGAAUCCUGGAUAUUAUUGUUUUGAUAAAACCCUCUUAGUAAAGUCCCAUUAGCAAUUGGUUGAGGAGAAAAUGGCACUGAGCUUAAACCUUUUCCACAUUGCUGAUAGCAGCCAUCAUGAGGACAUGAUUAUAUCAGGUCCACUUAUGUGAUAACAUGAAUGGGAUUAGCGUCGGUCACAUUAAUACUUGGUUUAUUUUUCUUUUGCAAUAAUUGGUUUAUUUUUCAAUGCACAACUGCUGUCGGCUUUGUUGCCGUUGAUGCAUCACAGGAUACUGGUGCAAAUUCACGUACCGAUGCGGAUGGAUUAACUCUGUUGGAAGCAUUUGAUCGCUGGUUUGCACCCCAUGUCCGGGUGGUGUGAUCUUCCUAUCUUGGUCCUCUAGCAGGAAUUUGAUUCACUGCUAGUUGAUCCUGGUUCGCUACAUUCUUCCUUGCGGAAGGGAUUUGAAAUAACAUUGCGCCUCCUUUCGGCGAAGAUCUAUUUUCUUCUUUUUGCAAGUUGUAGCUAGCAUUGUACUUAUUUGCGCUAAUAGUUUUGUAAUGACAAUACGUGUAGAUUCUCGUUCAUCUUUGCAGUUGGUCUUGAUUGUAAAUGAA